AUUGAACGCUGGCGACAUGCCUUACACAUGCAAGUCGAACGGCAGCACGGGAGCAAUCCUGGUGGCGAGUGGCGAACGGGUGAGUAAAGUAUCGGAACGUGCCCAGUCGUGGGGGAUAACGUAGCGAAAGUUACGCUAAUACCGCAUACGAUCUAUGGAUGAAAGCGGGGGAUCGCAAGACCUCGCGCGAUUGGAGCGGCCGAUAGUCAGAUUAGGUAGUUGGUGGGGUAAAGGCUCACCAAGCCGACGAUCUGUAGCUGGUCUGAGAGGACGACCAGCCACACUGGGACUGAGACACGGCCCAGACUCCUCCGGGAGGCAGCAGGGGGGAAUUUUGGACAAUGGGCGAAAGCCUGAUCCAGCCAUGCCGCGUGCAGGAUGAAGGCCUUCGGGUUGUAAACUGCUUUUGUACGGAACGAAAAGGUUUGGCGUAAUAAGCUGAGCUCAUGACGGUACCGUAAGAAUAAGCACCGGCUAACUACGUGCCAGCCGCCGCCGAAA
rnacentral:rRNA from 1 species